UCUGCCUUCAACGUUGCUAGUGUCAUAACCACCAUGGAGGCAUUGAAAGUAGUGUAGAGAGAUGGAGUCUUGCUAUGCUGCCCAGGCUGGUCUAAAAUUCCUGCCCUCAAGCAGUGCUCCUGUCUUGGCCUCCCAAAGUGCAAGUAUAUGUCAUUGACCCAGGACCUCUUCCAUCUGCUGAGACCCUUUAAACAGAC